GCCCGUCUAGCUCACCGGUAGAGCGCCUCACUAGUAUUACCCCCAAUCAGCUAAGCUCUUAAGGAGUUAUAUCUUCACAGGAGCAAUACGCGGUAAUGAGGAGGCAACAGGUUCGACUCCUGUGAUGGGCA
rnacentral:tRNA from 1 species